UCGAGCGGCAGCGCGGGACUCAGGCAACUGAGCCCUGGCGGCGAGCGGCGAACGGGUGAGUAAUACAUCGGAACGUGUCCCGUAGUGGGGGAUAGCUCGGCGAAAGCCGGAUUAAUACCGCAUAUGCUCUACGGAGGAAAGCGGGGGAUCCGCAAGGACCUCGCGCUAUGGGAGCGGCCGAUGUCCGAUUAGCUUGUUGGUGGGGUAACGGCUCACCAAGGCGACGAUCGGUAGCUGGUCUGAGAGGAUGAUCAGCCACACUGGGACUGAGACACGGCCCAGACUCCUACGGGAGGCAGCAGUGGGGAAUUUUGGACAAUGGGGGAAACCCUGAUCCAGCCAUGCCGCGUGAGUGAAGAAGGCCUUCGGGUUGUAAAGCUCUUUUGGUCGGAAAGAAAAGGCCACGGAUAACACCCGUGGUUCUUGACGGUACCGGCAGAAUAAGCACCGGCUAACUACGUGCCAGCAGCCGCGGUAAUACGUAGGGUGCGAGCGUUAAUCGGAAUUACUGGGCGUAAAGCGUGCGUAGGCGGUCCUCCAAGUCCGCUGUGAAAGCCCCGGGCUCAACCUGGGAAUUGCAGUGGAAACUAUGGGACUUGAAUCUGGCAGAGGGGGGUGGAAUGCCACGUGUAGCAGUGAAAUGCGUAGAGAUGUGGCGGAACACCGAUGGCGAAGGCAGCCCCCUGGGCUGAGAUUGACGCUCAGGCACGAAAGCGUG
rnacentral:rRNA from 1 species